rnacentral:lncRNA from 1 species
GCUGGAUUUGAACUCAGGAAGAUGAAUUUUCCUGACCCCAGGCCAAGUGCUCAAUCCAUUGCCAAAUCAGCCAGUCUUCUAAUUUUACAAACAAGGAAACUGAGGCCGAGAGGAGUCACAGAAGUAGUUAAAUAGGAGAGUCGCAUUCAAAUCCAGGUUCUCAGACUCCAAAUCUGGCUGACAUUCUUAGAGUCUGCAGUUUGCAUCCUCUGUGUUAGAAGGCACACACACGAGUGGGAAGUGCUUCAGAAAGAUUCCAUCCCAAAUACUCAACAUGAAAACGCUAGGGCGGACUUCAGGUAUCUGGACAUCGCUUUGUCCUGUGUCUAUCCCGGUGAUAAAUAGUGCUCUGCAUGCUAGCUCCCCCACUGGACGGCUGAGGAGGGAUUGGCGGUUUGGCUUUCCUUUGGGUCCUUCUCGGCACUUACUGGUCACGCCUGGCCAGUGCUGCUGCCCCUAAUAAAUGCCUGGUGGCUUUCUUUUCUUUUCUUUUCUUUUCUUUUCUUUUCUUUUCUUUUCUUUUCUUUUCUUUUCUUUCCUUUCCUUUCCUUUCCUUUCCUUUCCUUUCCUUUUCUUUUCUUUUCUUUUCUUUUCUUUUCUUUUCUUUUCUUUUCUUUUCUUUUCUUUUCUUUUCUUUUCUUUUCUUUUCUUUUCUUUUCUUUUCUUUUCUUUUCUUUUCUGUAGUGUCCUAGGCUUAGAGCAGGAAGGGAUCCCAGGCGACACCUGCACUAAGUCUCCCAUUUUUCAGAUGAGGAAACUAAGACCUUCGGAGCCUCCCCUGCCAGGAGAAAGAAGACAGCGUCCCACUGCCAGUGACUUCUCUGGCACGGGUAUCUACCGUUAUUGUUUAAUGACUGGCUCUUUGAGGGGAAACCCAGAUAUUUGAUUUCCCAAGUACAUGUAUUAAGAAUCUUCAACAUACAUUUUCUGAAAUGAGAAGAUCCAAAUUGUCUUCCUCCUCUGUUCUCUCUCUACCUUCCUACUGGAGAUGGUAAGCAAUUUGAUCUGAAUUUUACAUGUAUUAUUA